CAUAAAGAAACCAGAAAAAUAAAUGAGAAAAUGAAGUUGGCUAUUUACUGAAGUAUGAAUACAAAGAAUUGGAAAGGAAUAGGGGAGAAGAUGAGAUUUUUUUAAAGAAUACGUUUUAGAGAAUUUUUCUAUUUUAGGGUUUUACCAUGUUAAAAUAUUACAUAUUCAGAAAAUAAAAUAAUCAAUAGAAAUGAGCAUAACUAGUGACCAGUUCAUGUGCUAUUCUCUGCAGAAGAUUAUCAUUUCUGUAUUGUUUAUGAUAGUAAAAUAAUAGGAACAGAAAUUAAGGCUUAAAAACUUAGAAGUAUCAAAGGAACACAGGCAGCUUGAGGUGGUGCCCACUGACCAAAUUCAGGACUUUGUGAGUCUGAAGUAAAUGGUAAUAAUAACGGAUUGCAUUCAUGAAAAACAAAAAUCACCAUGUUAGUCCAAAAAUUAUUUUUAAAUUUAUUAUGAUUUUUCUUCUCUUCUGAAAAAGGAAAAGUUCUUUAUGGAAGAAUGUCAUGUAGAAAACAUGGAAGGAAUAUUGAAUUAGAAAAGCUACAUUAUCAGCAUAUUCUAUAACCAUUGGGUAAAAGAUGGCUUAGUUUCAAAAUGUUAUGCUUCAGAGUACCAAUUAUUUUUUAAAUCUUUUUUAAUUAAUUUUAUAUUUCUGACAGCAGAAUACAUUACAAUUCACAUUACACAUAUAGAGCAGAAUUAUUCAUAUCUCUGGUUGUAUACAAAGUAAGUUCACACUAAUUUGUGUCUUCAUAUAUAUACUUUGGAUAAUGAUGUCCAUCACAUUCCAUUAUCAUUUCUACCCCCAUGCCCCUUCUCUUCCCCUCCCACCCCUUUGUCCUAUCUAGAGUUCGGCUAUUCCUCCCAUACUCCCCGUCCCUACUCACUAUGAGUCAGCCUCCUUAUAUCAGAACUCAAAAAGCUAAACACACAAAAAAACAAAUAAUCCAAUCAAUAAAUGGGCCAAGGACCUGAACAGACACUUCUCAGAAGAUGAUUUACAAUCAAUCAGCAAAUAUAUGAAAAAAUGUUCAUCAUCUCUAGCAAUUAGAGAAAUGAAAAUCAAAACUACUCUAAGAUUUCAUCUCACUCCAGUCAGAAUGGCAGCUAUCAAGAAUACAAACAACAAUAAAUGUUGGCGAGGAUGUGGAGAAAAAGAUACACUCAUACAUUGCUGGUGGGACUGCAAAUUGAUAUACCCAAUAUGGAAAGCAGUAUGGAGAUUUCUUGGAAAACUGGGAAUGGAACCACCAUUUGACCCAACUAUCCCAUUUCUCUGUCUGUACCCAAAGGACUUAAAAACAGCAUACUGUAGAGACACAGCCACAUCAAUGUUUAUAGCAGCUCAAUUCACAAUAGCUAAACUGUGGAACCAACCUAGAUGCCCUCCAGUAUAUGAAUGGAUUAAAAAAUGUGGUAUAUAUGCACAAUGGAAUAUUACUCAGAAAUAAAAAGAGAAUAAAAUCAUGGCAUUUGCAGGUAAAUGGAUGGAGUUGGAGAAGAUAAUGCUAAGUGAAGUUAGCCAAUCCCAGAGUACCAAUUAUUUGAAAGGGAAAAGAUACUUUUGCAUUAAUGAAGUCUGUUGGACACCACGGUAACCAAGUGAUCCGAUGUAUUCUUUGAAAUGGGACAAACUGACAGCAUGUGCCUCUUACUGAAGAUUCAAUAUAAACUAUAUAACAUUCGCAAAAAAUGCUUAGCCUGAAUCUUAUUAUAACAAAACAAUCAGAAAAAUCCCAAUUCAAGACAUUCUGAAACAUAAUUGACCUGAACUCUUUAAAAUGCCAAUUUCUUUUUUAUGCUUUUAUUUUUUUAUUAUUUUUUUAAUUCACAUAUGACAGUGGAAUACAUUACAAUUCUUUUUUUAAAAAAAUAUUAGUUGUCAAUGGAUCUUUAUUUACAUGUGGUGCUGAGAAUCAAACCCAGUGCCUCACACAUGCUAGGCAAGCACUCUACCACUGAUCUAUAACCCC
rnacentral:lncRNA from 1 species